rnacentral:rRNA from 1 species
UAGGGAAUCUUCCGCAAUGGACGCAAGUCUGACGGAGCAACGCCGCGUGAGUGAAGAAGGAUUUCGGUUCGUAAAACUCUGUUGUUAGAGAAGAACAGCGCAUAGAGUAACUGUUAUGCGUGUGACGGUAUCUAACCAGAAAGCCACGGCUAACUACGUGCCAGCAGCCGCGGUAAUACGUAGGUGGCAAGCGUUGUCCGGAUUUAUUGGGCGUAAAGCGAGCGCAGGCGGUCAAUUAAGUCUGAUGUGAAAGCCCCCGGCUCAACCGGGGAGGGUCAUUGGAAACUGGUUGACUUGAGUGCAGAAGAGGAGAGUGGAAUUCCAUGUGUAGCGGUGAAGUGCGUAGAUAUAUGGAGGAACACAAGUGGCGAAGGCGACUCUCUGGUCUGUAACUGACGCUGAGGCUCGAAAGCGUGGGGAGCGAACAGG